rnacentral:rRNA from 1 species
UACGGAGGGUGCGAGCGUUGUCCGGAAUCACUGGGCGUAAAGGGCGCGUAGGCGGCCACCGCAAGUCGACUGUGAAAAUCUCCGGGCUUAACCCGGAAAGGUCAGCCGAUACUGCGGGGCUAGAGUGCAGAAGGGGCAACUGGAAUUCUCGGUGUAGCGGUGAAAUGCGUAGAUAUCGAGAGGAACACCUGCGGCGAAGGCGGGUUGCUGGGCUGACACUGACGCUGAGGCGCGAAGCUAGGGGAGCGAACGGG